UGGGGAAUAUUGCGCAAUGGGCGAAAGCCUGACGCAGCUACGCCGCGUGGGUGAUGAAGGCCUUCGGGUUGUAAAGCCCUGUCGGGAGGGAAGAAGCAAUGACGGUACCUCCCAAGAAAGCACCGGCUAACUCCGUGCCAGCAGCCGCGGUAAUACGGAGGGUGCAAGCGUUGCUCGGAAUCAUUGGGCGUAAAGCGUACGCAGGCUGUUCGUUAAGUCGGGUGUGAAAGCCCGGGGCUCAACCCCGGAAAUGCGCCCGAGACUGGCGAGCUUGAGUGCGGGAGAGGGAAGCGGAAUUCCUGGUGUAGAGGUGAAAUUCGUAGAUAUCAGGAGGAACACCGGUGGCGAAAGCGGCUUCCUGGCCCGACACUGACGCUCAUGUACGAAAGCGUGGGGAGCAAACAGG
rnacentral:rRNA from 1 species